GAUGAACGCUGGCGGCGUGCCUAAUACAUGCAAGUCGAGCGAACAGAUGAGGAGCUUGCUCCUUUGACGUUAGCGGCGGACGGGUGAGUAACAUGUGGAUAACCUACCUAUAAUACUGGGAUAACUUCGGGAAACCGGAGCUAAUCCCGGAUAAUAUAUUGAACCGCAUGGUUCAAUAGUGAAAGUCGGUUUUGCUGUCACUUAUAGAUGGAUCCGCGCCGCAUUAGCUAGUUGGUAAGGUAACGGGUUACCAAGGCAACGAUGCGUAGCCGAACUGAGAGGGUGAUCGGCGACACGAGAGCUGAACCGCGGUCCAGACUCCUGAGAGAGGCCGCAGUAGGGAAUCUGCCGCAGUAGGCGAGAGCUUGGCGGAACGGGGCCACGCGAGAUGUGGAAAUCUUCGGAUCGGAAUACUGUGUUAUUAGGGAAGAACAAAUGUGUAAGUAACUAUGCACGGCUUGACGGUACCUAGUCAGAAAGCAACGGCUAACUACGUG
rnacentral:rRNA from 1 species